CAAAGGCUUGGUCCUGACUUUAUUAUCAACUUUAGCCAAACUUACACAUGCAAGUAUCCGCACCCCCGUGAGAAUGCCCUAAUAGUUCCCCGCCCGGGAACAAGGAGCUGAUAUCAGGCACAACCCUAUUGAGCCCACGACAUCUUGCUUAGCCACGCCCUCAAGGGAACUCAGCAGUGAUAAACAUUAAGCCAUAAGUGAAAACUUGACUUAGUUAAAGCUAAGAGGGCCGGUAAAACUCGUGCCAGCCACCGCGGUUAUACGAGAGACCCAAGUUGACAAACACCGGCGUAAAGUGUGGUUAAGUUAAAAAUCAUACUAAAGCCAAACAUCUUCAAGACUGUUAUACGUAACCGAAGACAGGAAGUUCAACCACGAAAGUCGCUUUAUCUGAUCUGAAUCCACGAAAGCUAAGGAACAAACUGGGAUUAGAUACCCCACUAUGCCUAGCCCUAAACAUUGAUAAUGCUAUACACCCAUUAUCCGCCCGGGUACUACGAGCAACAGCUUAAAACCCAAAGGACUUGGCGGUGCUUUAGAUCCACCUAGAGGAGCCUGUUCUACAACCGAUAACCCCCGUUCAACCUCACCUCUCCUUGUUUUACCCGCCUAUAUACCGCCGUCGUCAGCUUACCCUGUGAGGGACUAAUAGUAAGCAGAACUGGUACAACCUAAAACGUCAGGUCGAGGUGUAGCGUAUGGAGGGGGAAGAAAUGGGCUACAUUCGCUACCACAGCGAACACGAAUGGUGCACUGAAACACACACCUGAAGGAGGAUUUAGCAGUAAGCUGGAAAUAGAGCAUCCCGCUGAAACUGGCCCUGAAGCGCGCACACACCGCCCGUCACUCUCCCCAAAAGCCCCAAUCAGUUAACUAAAACCUAAUAAUCAAAAAGGGGAGGCAAGUCGUAACAUGGUAAGUGUACCGGAAGGUGCACUUGGUAAAAU
rnacentral:ncRNA from 1 species